rfam:Tupaia chinensis contig89406, whole genome shotgun sequence.
GUGCUCACUUCAGCAGCACACGUACUAAAACUGGACCAAUACAGAGAAGAUGAGCAUGGCCCUGCGCGAGGACCACAUGCAAAUUCGUGAAGUAUUCCAUAUUAAA